CUGUCUGUCGUCCCUGACGCGUGACGCGGCUGACGCCUGACAUUUACAGCUUUGACUGUGAUGUAUCAUGGUAAUAUGUUUAUCUAAAAGCAGAGAGAUUUUGUGGCAUUGCAGAGAGCGAAUAAGCGGAAUGGAAAAAUAGAUGCAAGGUCAGAUGACUCUGGCAAGAUAUAGCCUAGAAUAGAUGCUAUUAUACCAUGCCUGAUGCAUGAUUGUUGCAGCCUCUUCAAUUGAAUGAACAAAGACAAAAGUUACAAAGACAACUACAAUCCUACAGCAUCGAAAGUGUUAAAAGAAGACAAUUGCUUACCAUUUGCUGGCAAAUAUGGAAUUGGGAUCUUGCUUAAAAGUACUUGAUACCUUUUUCAUGGGAAACCUCAUUUCACAUUCUUCUGCCAUUUUGAUUUACUUUUAUCAAAGUGUCAACCAUUUUUUUAGUCUGUAGACUGACAAAUUCAGGAUGAGUUUACUUCCAAGCAUUGACACAACAUACAUCUCCAUACAGAAAAAAAUGUGUUGGUGAAUGUUGUCAAGAAUGCAGAUGAUACCAAUAUAUACUUCUGAAUUCAGGAAUUUAGUUAAUUUACUGUGAUAUCAACCUAAGCAAAAUCUUCAUAUGUGAAGUGCUUUCAGACUUCAUUGGUGCCGAAUUUUUGAGUAUAUUAUCACCAGAACGUCAUACAAAAUAACUUGGGCAGAAAACAGAUACCUUUGGACAAUGGUUACACCAAGGGCAGUGAAUGCAUUUCUCUUUUCACCAUUGGUCAGCUGACUUGCCUUCCCAGUUGCAAUGAAGAAGAAUGAUUAGUCAAAAGUAUUAAAAGGAAACAAGCAACAGUUAUGGUUCGUUUGGUUGGAGCCCUUUGUCAACAAAGGGAGAGAGGACGAAGUCAAACGUAUCCGAAAGGUACGGGGUUACAAGAUGGAAGCUUAGCCACGGUUUAUUGUCAAACAAAUAGACACGACUGUCGGAGCCCUUUGUGCGCAGGGCAUUUGACGAACCGGGCACUCAAAUGACGCUAAAGACUUUUCACUUUGCUUGUGUGGCACCGAUGAACAUCACACAGGAACUUUCUGGAUUAAGGAAAUCAUUAACGCCCUAAAGGCCUUUAGUACACCUGUUAUCUCCACCCAGCUUCUAAUUGUUGACGACCCGGAAUAUGCGCGACAAGUUAAAGGAAGGAUCGAAAACAAUUUUCGGAGAACUAAAUUAAACAAUUUUUCGUUAUCAAUAUUUUUCAAUUGUCUUUUUAUGUGACGGGAUAUUUCGAUGAAGUAUAACUGCCUGAUUAUUUUUAAUGUCGAUUAAAUUAGACAUUAACCGAAUCCGCUUGCUAAAACUCGAGGUGGCUGCAAAUUCUAUCUAGUAGAGCCUCUGUAUACAUGUAAACUGAAAAUAAAGCCUGCUUUCAUCGAAGUCAUUAGUGAAACAAUACAAAUUGUAAAGCUGUGCUCCAUCUGCAAAAUCGUCAAUGUAUCUGUGAGGCAGUACCUCAAAGAACAAUUGCCUAGGGACUUCAUACAGGGUUUGCCAACUGCUAGCCGAGCUGUCAUCAACAUCGACGAUACAAGGAAACCGCAUAGAUAGUGUGUUUAUCUGUUAACUGCUUCAAAUUGACUCAGAAUUAGGCAGCAAUUUUGGAAGUUGUUGCUUUCUCAGUAUGAAUGAGCUUCAAUGUUGGUGUUGCAGGUGUUACCCAUGUUACGUUGACUGUUUGGAUUCCUAUUCAUUAACAUUUCAAAACCAAAUUCAUCUUCUUAAAAUUGACUCGAAAGGAUUUAGAUCAUUCUAGGAAAAUAUCUAUCAAAGAUGCAAAGCUCUAAUGGGAUUAAUUUAUCCGUCAAAUUAAUGAUAAACUUGGAUCUGCAAAGGUUCCUUGGUUGGGGCGAGAUACCGAAUAAAGUUUAAUGAUUGGAUGCACUA
rnacentral:lncRNA from 1 species